GAUGAACGCUGGCGGCGUGCUUAACACAUGCAAGUCGAACGGUGAAGCCCAGCUUGCUGGGUGGAUCAGUGGCGAACGGGUGAGUAACACGUGAGCAACCUGCCCUGGACUCUGGGAUAAGCGCUGGAAACGGCGUCUAAUACUGGAUAUGAGACGUGGCCGCAUGGUCAACGUUUGGAAAGAUUUUUCGGUCUGGGAUGGGCUCGCGGCCUAUCAGCUUGUUGGUGAGGUAAUGGCUCACCAAGGCGUCGACGGGUAGCCGGCCUGAGAGGGUGACCGGCCACACUGGGACUGAGACACGGCCCAGACUCCUACGGGAGGCAGCAGUGGGGAAUAUUGCACAAUGGGCGGAAGCCUGAUGCAGCAACGCCGCGUGAGGGAUGACGGCCUUCGGGUUGUAAACCUCUUUUAGCAAGGAAGAAGCUUUUGUGACGGUACUUGCAGAAAAAGCGCCGGCUAACUACGUGCCAGCAGCCGCAGUAAUAC
rnacentral:rRNA from 1 species